rnacentral:tmRNA from 1 species
GGGGACGAAAGGAUUUCGACGGGGAUUCUGAAGCCUCUGAAGCGGGUCGUGGUGCGAACCCACGUUAAACAUCGCAAACUUUAAAUUGAACUGACAAUACUACAGUUUUGAAGGCUGCGUAACGCGGCCCGUCCGCGCUUUGAGGACUGCGGCAAAGAUGCGGGCGUCGAUGAGCAGUGAACGUGAACGGCGGAGCGUUUCGGCCGCCGUCAUGCAUCAGGAACUACUGAACCGCUGAGCCUGUCGACCGGCGCAGCGCAGAGGAAAUGUCAAACGAUCGACUGCACCCGGAGAAACAGACGUGAACGAGUUUUCGGACGCGGGUUCGACUCCCGCCGUCUCCACCA